UGGGGAAUUUUGGACAAUGGGCGAAAGCCUGAUCCAGCAAUGCCGCGUGUGUGAAGAAGGCCUUCGGGUUGUAAAGCACUUUUGUCCGGAAAGAAAUCCUUGGCUCUAAUACAGUCGGGGGAUGACGGUACCGGAAGAAUAAGCACCGGCUAACUACGUGCCAGCAGCCGCGGUAAUACGUAGGGUGCAAGCGUUAAUCGGAAUUACUGGGCGUAAAGCGUGCGCAGGCGGUUUGCUAAGACCGAUGUGAAAUCCCCGGGCUCAACCUGGGAACUGCAUUGGUGACUGGCAGGCUAGAGUAUGGCAGAGGGGGGUAGAAUUCCACGUGUAGCAGUGAAAUGCGUAGAGAUGUGGAGGAAUACCGAUGGCGAAGGCAGCCCCCUGGGCCAAUACUGACGCUCAUGCACGAAAGCGUGGGGAGCAAACAGGAUUAGAUACCCUGGUAGUCCACGCCCUAAAACGAUGUCAACUAGUUGUUGGGGGAUUCAUUUCCUUAGUAACGUAGCUAACGCGUGAAGUUGACCGCCUGGGGAGUACGGUCGCAAGAUUAAAACUUAAAUGAAUUGACGGGGUCAUAGCUGUUU
rnacentral:rRNA from 1 species